rnacentral:rRNA from 1 species
GAUGAACGCUGGCGGCGUGCCUAAUACAUGCAAGUCGAGCGAACGGACGAGAAGCUUGCUUCUCUGAUGUUAGCGGCGGACGGGUGAGUAACACGUGGAUAACCUACCUAUAAGACUGGGAUAACUUCGGGAAACCGUAGCUAAUACCGGAUAAUAUUUUGAACCGCAUGGUUCAAAAGUGAAAGACGGUCUUGCUGUCACUUAUAGAUGGAUCCGCGCUGCAUUAGCUAGUUGGUAAGGUAACGGCUUACCAAGGCAACGAUGCAUAGCCGACUUGAGAGGGUGAUCGGCCACACUGGAACUGAGACACGGUCCAGACUCCUACGGGAGGCAGCAGUAGGGAAUCUUCCGCAAUGGGCGAAAGCCUGACGGAGCAACGCCGCGUGAGUGAUGAAGGUCUUCGGAUCGUAAAACUCUGUUAUUAGGGAAGAACAUAUGUGUAAGUAACUGUGCACAUCUUGACGGUACCUAAUCAGAAAGCCACGGCUAACUACGUG